rnacentral:lncRNA from 1 species
UGAUUCCGACAGUCAUUGGGGGCGGUUGGCGACGGGGUGGGCUGCAGUUGGUGACGGGGUGUGCUGGAGUUGACGAUGGAGUGUACAGGAGUUGACGACGGAGGUAGGCCGGUCCCUUUGGCACCGGUGGCAAUGGCUGAGGUGGCCGGAAGUGAUGGUUGCGAAGGGGAGAGGGUGUCGGUUGGAGUUGUCGAACAAGGGGAGGGAGUUUUCGCGACUGUGAGGGAAAAAGAGAGAGAAGAAGGUCAGUUUAUAAAUAUCUGAUUUUCUAAAAUUACAAUUUUGCCCCUCAUCAUAAUUUGAUUGUAUUUUCUUCGUUAUAACUCCGAUUCUAGCCCACUACGUGUCUACAGCCUUGUUUCGACGUGAUCUACACACUCGUACAAUCGGAAUUUCUAAAUUCUUU